rnacentral:rRNA from 1 species
UCACGAAAGUGGAUUGUACUAGAAGCCUGCAGGCCGACCCGCAAGGGGGCAGCGGUCCAAGGUAUGAUCCAUGAUUGUGGUG